AACGCUGGCGGCGUGCCUAAUACAUGCAAGUAGAACGCUGAAGAGAGGAGCUUGCUCUUCUUGGAUGAGUUGCGAACGGGUGAGUAACGCGUAGGUAACCUGCCUUGUAGCGGGGGAUAACUAUUGGAAACGAUAGCUAAUACCGCAUAACAAUGGAUGACACAUGUCAUUUAUUUGAAAGGGGCAAUUGCUCCACUACAAGAUGGACCUGCGUUGUAUUAGCUAGUAGGUGAGGUAAUGGCUCACCUAGGCGACGAUACAUAGCCGACCUGAGAGGGUGAUCGGCCACACUGGGACUGAGACACGGCCCAGACUCCUACGGGAGGCAGCAGUAGGGAAUCUUCGGCAAUGGGGGCAACCCUGACCGAGCAACGCCGCGUGAGUGAAGAAGGUUUUCGGAUCGUAAAGCUCUGUUGUAAGUCAAGAACGGGUGUGAGAGUGGAAAGUUCACACUGUGACGGUAGCUUACCAGAAAGGGACGGCUAACUACGUGCCAGCAGCCGCGGUAAUACGUAGGUCCCGAGCGUUGUCCGGAUUUAUUGGGCGUAAAGCGAGCGCAGGCGGUUUGAUAAGUCUGAAGUUAAAGGCUGUGGCUCAACCAUAGUUCGCUUUGGAAACUGUCAAACUUGAGUGCAGAAGGGGAGAGUGGAAUUCCAUGUGUAGCGGUGAAAUGCGUAGAUAUAUGGAGGAACACCGGUGGCGAAAGCGGCUCUCUGGUCUGUAACUGACGCUGAGGCUCGAAAGCGUGGGGAGCGAACAGGAUUAGAUACCCUGGUAGUCCACGCCGUAAACGAUGAGUGCUAGGUGUUGGAUCCUUUCCGGGAUUCAGUGCCGCAGCUAACGCAUUAAGCACUCCGCCUGGGGAGUACGACCGCAAGGUUGAAACUCAAAGGAAUUGACGGGGGCCCGCACAAGCGGUGGAGCAUGUGGUUUAAUUCGAAGCAACGCGAAGAACCUUACCAGGUCUUGACAUCCCGAUGCUAUUUCUAGAGAUAGAAAGUUACUUCGGUACAUCGGUGACAGGUGGUGCAUGGUUGUCGUCAGCUCGUGUCGUGAGAUGUUGGGUUAAGUCCCGCAACGAGCGCAACCCCUAUUGUUAGUUGCCAUCAUUCAGUUGGGCACUCUAGCGAGACUGCCGGUAAUAAACCGGAGGAAGGUGGGGAUGACGUCAAAUCAUCAUGCCCCUUAUGACCUGGGCUACACACGUGCUACAAUGGUUGGUACAACGAGUUGCGAGUCGGUGACGGCGAGCUAAUCUCUUAAAGCCAAUCUCAGUUCGGAUUGUAGGCUGCAACUCGCCUACAUGAAGUCGGAAUCGCUAGUAAUCGCGGAUCAGCACGCCGCGGUGAAUACGUUCCCGGGCCUUGUACACACCGCCCGUCACACCACGAGAGUUUGUAACACCCGAAGUCGGUGAGGUAACCUUUUGGAGCCAGCCGCCUAAGGUGGGACAGAUGAUUGGGGUG
rnacentral:rRNA from 1 species